rnacentral:rRNA from 1 species
UCAUGGCUCAGGAUGAACGCUGGCGGCGCGCUUAACACAUGCAAGUCGAACGGUUAAAGCACCUCCGGGUGUGCAUAAAGUGGCGAACGGCUGAGUAACACGUGGGCAACCUGCCCCCCGCACCGGGAUAGCCUCGGGAAACCGUGGGUAAUACCGGAUACUCCGCCACCCCCGCAUGGGGGAGGCGGGAAAGCGUACACGGCGGGGGAUGGGCCCGCGGCCUGUUAGCUCGUUGGCGGGGUAACGGCCCACCAAGGCGAUUAUGGGUAGCCGGGUUGAGAGACCGACCGGCCAGAUUGGGACUGAGACACGGCCCAGACUCCUACGGGAGGCAGCAGUGGGGAAUCUUGCACAAUGGGCGAAAGCCUGAUGCAAGCGACGCCGCGUGCGGGACGAAGGCCCUCGGGUUGUAAACCGCUUUCAGCAGGGACGAGGCGCGAGUGACGGUACCUGCAGAAGAAGCCCCGGCUAACUACGUGCCAGCCGCUGC